AAGCAUAUCAAUAAGCGGAGGAAAAGAAACUAACAAGGAUUCCCCUAGUAACUGCGAGUGAAGAGGGAAAAGCUCAAAUUUUGAAUCUGGCGGUCUUUUGGUCGUCCGAGUUGUAAUCUAGAGAAGCGUCUUCCGCGCUGGACCGUGUAUAAGUUUCCUGGAAUGGAACGUCGUAGAGGGUGAGAAUCCCGUCUUUGACACGGACUACCAGGGCUAUGCGAUGCGCUCUCGACGAGUCGAGUUGUUUGGGAAUGCAGCUCAAAUAGGGUGGUAAAUUCCAUCUAAAGCUAAAUAUAGGCGAGAGACCGAUAGCGAACAAGUACCGUGAGGGAAAGAUGAAAAGAACUUUGGAAAGAGAGUUAAACAGUACGUGAAAUUGCUGAAAGGGAAACGCUUGAUGUCAGUCGCGUCGGCCGGGGAUCAGCCUUGCUUAACCGCUCGGCGUACUUCCUGGCAGACGGGUCAGCAUCAGUUUCGACCGUCGGAAAAUGGCUAGGGGAAUGUGGCACUCUUUCGGGAGUGUGUUAUAGACUCGAGUCGAAUGCGAUGGUUGGGACUGAGGAACUCAGCACGACCUUAGGGUUCGGGACUUUGGUCCACGUUUGCGUGCUUAGGAUGCUGGCAUAAUGGCCUUAAGCGACCCGUCUUGAAACACGGACCAAGGAGUCUAACAUGCA
rnacentral:rRNA from 1 species